AACGCUGGCGGCGUGCCUAACACAUGCAAGUCGAACGAGAAGUACGUAGCAAUACGUAUUGUAAAGUGGCGCACGGGUGAGUAACACGUGGGUAAUCUGCCCUUGAGUUUGGGAUAACCCCGCGAAAGCGGGGCUAAUACCGGAUAAGACCACGGGGACCAAAGUCCCUGAGGUAAAAGGUGGCCUCUAUUUAUAAGCUACCACUUGAGGAUGAGCCCGCGGCCCAUUAGCUAGUUGGCAGGGUAACGGCCUACCAAGGCAAUGAUGGGUAGCUGGUCUGAGAGGACGAUCAGCCACACUGGAACUGAGACACGGUCCAGACUCCUACGGGAGGCAGCAGUGGGGAAUAUUGCGCAAUGGGCGAAAGCCUGACGCAGCAACGCCGCGUGGGGGAUGAAGGUUCUCGGAUUGUAAACCCCUUUCGAUCGGAACGAAUCCCCUCCUGGUAAAUAAUCAGGAGGAUCGACGGUACCGAGAGAAGAAGCCACGGCUAACUCUGUGCCAGCAGCCGCGGUAAGACAGAGGUGGCGAGCGUUGUUCGGAUUUAUUGGGCGUAAAGCGAACGCAGGUGGUUUGGUAAGUCAGGGGUGAAAGCCCACAGCUUAACUGUGGCAUUGCCUUUGAUACUGCCUUUCUUGAGUAGAGUAGGGGGAAGCGGAAUUCCGAGUGUAGAGGUGAAAUUCGUAGAUAUUCGGAGGAACACCGGUGGCGAAGGCGGCUUCCUGGACUCUAACUGACACUCAUGUUCGAAAGCGUGGGGAGCAAACAGGAUUAGAUACCCUGGUAGUCCACGCCCUAAACGAUGGGCACUAGGUGUGGGAGGUAUCGACCCCUUCCGUGCCGCAGCUAACGCAUUAAGUGCCCCGCCUGGG
rnacentral:rRNA from 1 species